rnacentral:rRNA from 1 species
AGCGAACGCUGGCGGCAGGCCUAACACAUGCAAGUCGAACGAAGUCUUCGGACUUAGUGGCGGACGGGUGAGUAACACGUGGGAACGUGCCUUUAGGUUUGGAAUAACUCAGGGAAACUUGUGCUAAUACCGAAUGUGCCCUUCGGGGGAAAGAUUUAUCGCCUUUAGAGCGGCCCGCGUCUGAUUAGCUAGUUGGUGAGGUAAAGGCUCACCAAGGCGACGAUCAGUGGCUGGUCUGAGAGGAUGAUCAGCCACAUUGGGACUGAGACACGGCCCAAACUCCUACGGGAGGCAGCAGUGGGGAAUCUUGCGCAAUGGGCGAAAGCCUGACGCAGACAUGCCGCGUGAAUGAUGAAGGUCUUAGGAUUGUAAAAUUCUUUCACCGGGGAUGAUAAUGACGGUACCCGGAGAAGAAGCCCCGGCUAACUUCGUGCCAGCCGCCGCCGUAACAC